rnacentral:rRNA from 1 species
AGUUAAGCGACUAAGCGUACACGGUGGAUGCCCUGGCAGUCAGAGGCGAUGAAGGACGUGCUAAUCUGCGAAAAGCGUCGGUAAGGUGAUAUGAACCGUUACAGCCGGCGAUGUCCGAAUGGGGAAACCCAGUGCAAUUCGUUGCACUAUCGUUAACUGAAUACAUAGGUUAACGAGGCGAACCGGGGGAACUGAAACAUC